rnacentral:lncRNA from 1 species
UAAUUUCUGAAUCAGUCACCUCUUAAAAUUCAUAACAAAUCAUACGUUCAUUUUUAACGGUUCAAAAUUUGUGGACAUAUACUCAACUUAUAUAUGUAUAACAUAUCCAAAAAUUACAACGAUCCAACGGUUGGAUUAAAAAUUAUAACUCACACAAUAUAUCUCAAAAACACUGGUUUAAUUUUUAAUACCUUCAUUCCGACAAAAAUACUGAUAAAACACUUCAACAUUAACUCCUUCAUUUUUAACCACAAUAAAUAUAUCUAACAUUUAUAUCCACAUAAAAUAAAUAUUUCCUUAUCAUAUGAAUCAAUAAUUAAUUAUUCACAAAUAAUAUUACAGAAUCACAUUUAUGACAACCAGACCGUUCCCAGGAAAGAGGGG